GACGAACGCUGGCGGCGUGCCUAAUACAUGCAAGUAGAACGCUGAAGGAGGAGCUUGCUCUUCUGGAUGAGUUGCGAACGGGUGAGUAACGCGUAGGUAACCUGCCUGGUAGCGGGGGAUAACUAUUGGAAACGAUAGCUAAUACCGCAUAACAGUAGAUGUUGCAUGACAUUUACUUAAAAGGUGCAAUUGCAUCACUACCAGAUGGACCUGCGUUGUAUUAGCUAGUUGGUGGGGUAACGGCUCACCAAGGCGACGAUACAUAGCCGACCUGAGGGGGUGAUCGGCCACACUGGGACUGAGACACGGCCCAGACUCCUACGGGAGGCAGCAGUAGGGAAUCUUCGGCAAUGGACGGAAGUCUGACCGAGCAACGCCGCGUGAGUGAAGAAGGUUUUCGGAUCGUAAAGCUCUGUUGUAAGAGAAGAACGAGUGUGAGAGUGGAAAGUUCACACUGUGACGGUAUCUUACCAGAAAGGGACGGCUAAUUACGUG
rnacentral:rRNA from 1 species